rnacentral:rRNA from 1 species
UACGGAGGAUGCAAGCGUUAUCCGGAAUGAUUGGCGUAAAGCGUCCGCAGGUGGCUAUGUAAGUCUGCUGUUAAAGAGUGAGGCUCAACCUCAUAAGAGCAGUGGAACUACAUGGCUAGAGUGCGUUCGGGGCAGAGGGAAUUCCUGGUGUAGCGGUGAAAUGACGUAGAGUAUCAGGAAGAACACCGGUGGCGAAAGCGCUCUGCUAGGCCGCAACUGACACUGAGGGACGAAAGCUAGGGGAGCGAAUGGG